rnacentral:snoRNA from 1 species
UAACCAGCCAAUUAAUCUGCUUCUGCAGAAAUUUAGAAACAGCUGGCAAUUGUGAUGCCAUUUUAUGAGCUUUAAGGACACCUGAGGUCAUUGUGGUCCCUCCAAAUGGUUAUAAUA